GACGAACGCUGGCGGCGUGCUUAACACAUGCAAGUCGAACGGAAAGUCCCUGCUUUUGUGGGCUGCUCGAGUGGCGACCGGGUGAGUAACACUUGAGUAACCUGCCCUUCCCUUUGGGAUAACUUCAUGCAACUGGGGCUAAUACCGCAUAGGAUCUCCUGCUUCAUGGUGGGCGUUGUAAAGUUUCGUCGGUUGGGGAUGGACGCGCGUCUUAUCGGAUUGUUGGUGGGGUAGUGGCUUACCAAGGCUUUGACCGGUAGCCGGCCUGAGAGGGGGACAGGACAAGUUGGGACGGAGAUACGGCCCAGACCCCAACGGGAGGGAGCGGUGGGGAAGAGUGCACAAUGGGAGGGAGCCUGAUGCAGCAAAGCAGCGUGGGGGGUGAGGGGAUGGGGGCUGGAAACCGCAUUCGCCUGUGACGAAGCGUGAGUGACGGUAAUGGGAAAAGAAGCUCCGGCUAACUACGUG
rnacentral:rRNA from 1 species